rnacentral:rRNA from 1 species
UACGUAGGGUGCAAGCGUUGUCCGGAAUUAUUGGGCGUAAAGAGCUCGUAGGCGGUUUGUCGCGUCUGCUGUGAAAUCCCGAGGCUCAACCUCGGGUCUGCAGUGGGUACGGGCAGACUAGAGUGCGGUAGGGGUGACUGGAAUUCCUGGUGUAGCGGUGGAAUGCGCAGAUAUCAGGAGGAACACCGAUGGCGAAGGCAGGUCACUGGGCCGCAACUGACGCUGAGGAGCGAAAGCAUGGGGAGCGAACAGG